UACGGAGGGGGUUAGCGUUGUUCGGAAUUACUGGGCGUAAAGCGCGCGUAGGCGGACCAGAAAGUUGGGGGUGAAAUCCCGGGGCUCAACCCCGGAACGGCCUCCAAAACUCCUGGUCUUGAGUUCGAGAGAGGUGAGUGGAAUUCCGAGUGUAGAGGUGAAAUUCGUAGAUAUUCGGAGGAACACCAGUGGCGAAGGCGGCUCACUGGCUCGAUACUGACGCUGAGGUGCGAAAGUGUGGGGAGCAAACAGC
rnacentral:rRNA from 1 species